UACAGAGGGGGCAAGCGUUAUUCGGAAUUAUUGGGCGUAAAGGGCGCGUAGGCGGCUUGGCAAGUGGAUGGUGAAAUCCCUCGGCUUAACCGAGGAACUGCCGUCCAAACUGCUUCGCUUGAGACCGGGAGAGGUGAGUGGAAUUCCCAGUGUAGCGGUGAAAUGCGUAGAUAUUGGGAGGAACACCAGUGGCGAAGGCGGCUCACUGGACCGGUACUGACGCUGAUGCGCGAAAGCGGUGGGGAGCAAACGGGG
rnacentral:rRNA from 1 species